rnacentral:rRNA from 1 species
GAUAAACGCUGGCGGCGUGCCUAAUACAUGCAAGUCGUGCGGUAAGGCCCCUUCGGGGGUACACGAGCGGCGGACGGCAGAGUAACGCGUAGGAACGUACCCCAAAGUGAGGGAUAACUGCUCGAAAGAGUAGCUAAUACCGCAUAUGAUCUUCGGAUUAAAGCAGCAAUGCGCUUUGGGAACGGCCUGCGUCCGAUUAGCUAGUUGGUAGAGUAAUAGCCUACCAAGGCGACGAUCAGUAGCUGGUCUGAGAGGACGAUCAGCCACACUGGGACUGAGACACGGCCCAGACUCCUACGGGAGGCAGCAGUGGGGAAUAUUGGACAAUGGGCGCAAGCCUGAUCCAGCCAUGCCGCGUGAGUGAUGAAGGCCUUCGGGUUGUAAAGCUCUUUCGCACACGACGAUGAUGACGGUAGUGUGAGAAGAAGCCCCGGCUAACUUCGUGCCAGACGCCGCGGUAA